ACGAACGCUGGCGGCGUGCUUAACACAUGCAAGUCGAACGGAAAGGCCCUGCUUUUGUGGGGUGCUCGAGUGGCGAACGGGUGAGUAACACGUGAGUAACCUGCCCUUGACUUUGGGAUAACUUCAGGAAACUGGGGCUAAUACCGGAUAGGAGCUCCUGCUACAUGGUGGGGGUUGGAAAGUUUCGGCGGUUGGGGAUGGACUCGCGGCUUAUCAGCUUGUUGGUGGGGUAGUGGCUUACCAAGGCUUUGACGGGUAGCCGGCCUGAGAGGGUGACCGGCCACAUUGGGACUGAGAUACGGCCCAGACUCCUACGGGAGGCAGCAGUGGGGAAUAUUGCACAAUGGGCGGAAGCCUGAUGCAGCAACGCCGCGUGCGGGAUGACGGCCUUCGGGUUGUAAACCGCUUUCGCCUGUGACGAAGCGUGAGUGACGGUAAUGGGUAAAGAAGCACCGGCUAACUACGUG
rnacentral:rRNA from 1 species